rnacentral:rRNA from 1 species
UACGGAGGUGGCAAGCGUUGUUCGGAAUAACUGGGCGUAAAGGAUGCGUAGGCGGUUAAACAAGUUAUAUGUUAAAUAUAUAGGCUUAACCUGUAGAAAGCAUAUAAAACUGUUUAACUAGAGUGCAGGAGAGGUAAGUGGAAUUCCUAGUGUAGCGGUGAAAUGCGUAGAGAUUAGGAAGAACACCAGUGGCGAAGGCGACUUACUGGACUGUAACUGACGCUGAGGCAUGAGAGCAUGGGGAGCAAACAGG